GACGAACGCUGGCGGCGUGCCUAAUACAUGCAAGUUGAGCGCUGAAGGUUGGUACUUGUACCGACUGGAUGAGCAGCGAACGGGUGAGUAACGCGUGGGGAAUCUGCCUUUGAGCGGGGGACAACAUUUGGAAACGAAUGCUAAUACCGCAUAAAAACUUUAAACACAAGUUUUAAGUUUGAAAGAUGCAAUUGCAUCACUCAAAGAUGAUCCCGCGUUGUAUUAGCUAGUUGGUGAGGUAAAGGCUCACCAAGGCGAUGAUACAUAGCCGACCUGAGAGGGUGAUCGGCCACAUUGGGACUGAGACACGGCCCAAACGCCUACGGGAGGCAGCAGUAGGGAAUCUUCGGCAAUGGACGAAAGUCUGACCGAGCAACGCCGCGUGAGUGAAGAAGGUUUUCGGAUCGUAAAACUCUGUUGGUAGAGAAGAACGUUGGUGAGAGUGGAAAGCUCAUCAAGUGACGGUAACGACCCAGAAAGGGACGGCUAACUACGUG
rnacentral:rRNA from 1 species